AAGAUUUUAAGUUAAGAUAUUAAACUAUUAGCCUUCAAAGUUAAAAAUAAUAUAUAUAUAUAUUUAUUAAAUCUUA
rnacentral:tRNA from 1 species